ACCUCCAUCACACAUUUCUCUCUCUCUCUCUCUCUCUCUCUCUCUCUUUGGUUUCUUUCUUUCUGCGUACGGUCACUCACUAUUCAAUUUUCAAUCAUCCAACGCUCACGCGCACAGAUCUCACAUUUAACCUUUACAAUGUUUCGUUUUCUUGUUUUCUCUGAUCAGUCCAUGGGUUCCGAUUCUCUCAUCAAAAUUCAUUUUCCAAACCGCAUUCACGCUCUAACCGUGCUCGCUUCGCUUUCCUCGCUGCUUCGUGGAUUCCACUUUCAUGGAACGAGUUUUCGGUGUUUCUCUUCCGCCUUACAUCGGGGAAGAGUAUUUUUCUUCUGAAUCCGUUUGGUUUCUAAGAAACCGCGCGAAAAGCACAGGUUAGAGAUGUUAUUUAAUCUCCGAAGCAAUGGUCACAUUCGGUGGAGACGUGCGUUUGGAUCUCAGUUUUUGAAGGAGCCUCAUAGUGGUGCUGUGGCUGGCUAAGCUGGAGAUUCACGGGCACAUGCAAAUCCUCUCCUAUGCCUAGACCAUUUAUGAGGAACUUAAUAGCUGAGGAAGAGAGACAACGUAGACAAUGGGAUCAGAACAAAGUAAUGAGGUAGCAGUUGAAAGAUAAAAAGUUCCAAGGGAAUGAGUACACCAAACUUCUGUUUGUCUUCUCAAGGUUGUUAGUUGAGAGAAUCUAAAUCUGGCCGUUAGAAUCCAAAAAGGAUGAGAAAAAACGAAGAAGGGUAUCCUCAAAUCCAAAAGGAGUAUGUCGCACAGGCUUACACGGUUGAGGCAAUGGAUGCUGGAGACAGUGGUGGGAGCGUCUUCACUGGUGCAGAACAGUGGCGGGAGCGUCUUCACUGGUGCAGAACAGUGGCGAGGAUAAAUUUGCGGAGGUUAGGCACAUGCAUGAGAACAGUAAACCAUGUCAUUCUUGUAAAUCUUUACUACAGUGUCCUAUCCGGGAACAAAAAGAAGGAACAGUGCUAGAAUGGUAAAAAUUUCUAAAUAUGCCUAAUACACAUAUAAGACUCAUGCUAGAGCCUUGUUGGUAUUCGUUGAAUAUAGAAUGUGGGUCAUUGAGAUAAUUUUUCUAGACCAUUGAAGCUACUAAACCUUAACAACUAUCUUACUCUUUAGCAUUAUUGUUAUUAUUUGAAUGUGGAAUGCCAUGUAUGACUCUAUGUUGCUAAGCAUUUACGUUCAUCUUUAUGAAGGUAUGUACAUGUCUAUGUUAUACCUGAAUCAAUUAGGUUUCGCUCCA